CCCAGAGAAGGGAUCGACUUACCCAUCAUGCCACAGAGAUUAAUUGGCCCCAGAAUUCUUUAGCAGACCGUGUAUAUGAACGUCCUUUGCAAUCAUAUAAAUUAACUGGGAAAACCUCAUUUAGUAUGUUACAUGCCUAGCGUUUUGUGCCUGAACACCUUACAAGAACCAGGGACUAUUGCCCCAAUAUUAUAUUUCAGGAAAGGAAGGCCCAGACAAAUGGUGUCACUGGUCCACUUUCACCCAGUUGGUAAAUGAAACCAGAAAUUAUAGCUGUACCACAGAAAGGUGAAAACGUUUCUUUUAUAAUUUCACAUACAAUCUUUAAUGGACCCAGUGUCCAACACAUUAAAGCAAGUGCUCAGGAGUGACAUCAAGAUGUAAAAAAUAGUCCUGUCCUCAGGGAGUUUAGGUCUUGGAGAAAAGAGACCCAAGGAGACACAAGACAAAGGGGAAAGAGAAGGAGCGCUGAAGACUGAGGACCCUGCCUGUGGACUGAAGUGAGGAUGGGGACACCCGAUGCCCGGAAUAUGACAGUUUGGAGGGGCCUGAAGGACUCUUCUAUUCUCUAUCAGAAAAACAGAAUUACUCUCCUAACCAGAAAAGGUAUUUCAAUUUAUAUUUUCCAUCACAGCACUUUUCUGGUGAUAAUUUAAUGUGUUUUAAAAAAUGUAUCACAGUGAUGGCCUGGUGUGAAAUAAAUAAUAAAAUUUUAAGAAUUAAAAAAUAUAAAAAUCUUUUAUAUAGACAUUAGGAGUUACAAGGAUAACUGUGAAUUAUAAUUAGUAAUUAAAUUGAAAUACUGAUUAUUUUCAUUUUUAUUUAAUUAUUUAAUAAAACCUAUUUAACAUUUAAUAUUUAUCAGUAAUUAAAUCUAAUUGUUAAUAUUUAUUAUUAUAAAUUAUUUUAGAAUUAAAAAUAAGUGUAGAAGCGAGGCAUGGUGGCUCAAGCCUGUAAUCCCAACACUUUGGGAGGCUAAGGUGGGAGGAUUGCUUGAGCCCAGUAGUUCAAGACCAGCCUGGGCAACAUGGAGAAACCCUGUCUCAAUACAAAAAAAUGAGCCAUGUGUGGUGGUGCGUGCCUGUAGUCCCAGCCAUUCUGGAGGCUGAGGUGGGAGGAUGACUUGAGCCUAGGCAGUCAAGGCUGCAGUGAGCCCUGAUCUUGCCACUGCACUCCAGUCUGGGCAACAGAGCAAGACCCUGUGUCAAUAUACAUAUGGACAAACUUAAAAUUUAAAAUGAAAGCAUACUACUGAUACAGAAUUGAGUAGAGAUGCAAAGCUAGUCCUAUAACCAGAACAAUAAAGAUAAAAAGGAGAGUGGAAGAAGGUAUGUCAUGAAUUUCAUGAUAAAUGGCAAUUGCAAAUAUCCUGUAGCAGAACAAAACAACAAAACUGUAGAUAAAACAUAUCCAACCCUUUGGAAGGCCAAGGAGGGAGGAUUGUUUGAGCCCAGAAGUUGGAGACCAGCCUGGGCAACAUAGUGAGACCCUGUAUCUAAAAAGGAAGAAAGAAAAAAAAAAAAAGGAUGAUAAAGUAGACAAUAUUGAAAGCCAUUUUCUGCAAAUACAUAGUGAAUUUGAUCAGUAAUUUUCUUCCAACAGUGCAAAAAUGAAUAGAUAUUAGUUGCCUGAAAUAAAAAUCAAAUAUCCAACAAAAAAUAUUGACUAUCUAAUAGUAUCUAAGCUAGUAAAUUUGGCCAGUUAUAAAAUGUCUUAAAUUUUUAUUUAAAAAAAGAAAACCAUAUUUAUAAGAAGAGGUGAUAAAGAGAAAUUAUUUCAGUUAUGAAGAUUUUGUUAGAAAACUAUGAGAAAAAAACUAUUUUUUGUUUUCAAAAAGUGAAAGAUUAAGUUACCAAACAGUUGCUAAAGAAUACCAGAUGGCUGAGCGUGGUGACUUAUGCCUGUAAUCCCAGUACUUUGGAAGGCCAAGGCAGGAGGAUCAUUUUAGGCCUGGAGUUCGAGACCAGCCUGGGCACUGUAGCAAGACCCGUCUCUAUUAAAAAAAAAAAAAAAAAAAAAAAAGAAUACAAGACCUUGCUAACAAUAGCAAAGAUCAAUUAAUUCAAAAUUUGAAAAACUGUAAUUUAUUUAGCUUUAGAGUACUCUCGUGAUAUGAGAUUGCCAAAUUAAUACUUUGGGUGCAUUUCUUUUCUCAAAGGACUUGCAAAUUUACAAAGAAGUGUUGAAGAAAAGCCACACAUUGGCAGGUAAUGUUUGCAAAAGACAGAUCUGAUGAAGAACAAUAUUUUUAGAAUAUACAAAGAAUACUUAAAACUCAACAGUAAGAAAAUAACCUGAUUUAAAGCAGGCCAAUGACCUGAACAUCUGUUCACCAAAGAAGAUACACAGAUGCAAGUAUGCAUAUGAAAAGAUGCUUGACAUCAUGUCAUUAGGGAACUGCAAAUUAAAACAAGUAGAUACCACUGCAUACCUAGUAGAAUGACCAAAAUUUAGAACACUGUCAGCACCAAAGGUUGCAAAGAUAUGUAGCAAUAGUAACUUGUUCAUUACUGGUGAGAAUGCAAAAUGUGCAAUCACUUUGGAAGACAGUUUGGUGGUUUCUUACAAAAGUAACCAUACUUUUACCAUAAGAUUCACCAAUCACACUCCUUAGUAUUUAUCCAAAGGAAUUGAAAACUUAUCUCCACACAAAAACCUGCACAUAGAUGUUUAUAGCAGCUUUAUUCAUAAUUUAUCCAAAACUUGGAAACAAGAUGUCUUUCAGUAGGUAAGUGGAUAACUGUGGUACUUCUGAAUAAUGGAAUGUUAUUUAGAGUUAAAAAGAAAUGCAUUCACUUUGGGAGGCCGAAGUGGGUGGAUUGCUUGAGGCCAGGAGUUUGAGACCAGCCUGGUCAACAUGGGAAAACCCCAAUUAGCCGGGCAUAGUGGCGUGAGCCUGUAAUCCCAGCUACUCGGGAGGCUGAGAUAUGAGAAUCGUUUGAACCUGGGAGAUGGAGGUUGCAGUGAGCCAGUGCCACUGCACUUCAGCCUGGGCAACAGAGCAAGACUCCUCUGUCUCAAAAAAAAAAAAAAAAAGAAAGAAAAGAAAAAAGAAAAAGAAAAAGAAAAGAAACGAUCAAGCCAUGAAAACACAUGAAGGAAACUUAAAUGUAUGUUACUAAAAAGCCAACCUGAAAAGACUGCAUACUAUAUGACUCCAACUGAUGCAGGGCAAGCAAGCCAAAAAUUAGGGCUUAGCCCGGGAAGAAUUCAAGGGUGAAGUGGUGGUGUUAGCAACUUUUACUGAAGCAGCAGUGUACAACAGCAGAACAGGUACUGCUCCUUGCUGAGCAGGGCUAACCCAUAAGUAAUGUGCCCAGAGUAGCAGCUCAGGGGCAGUUCUGCAGUAAUAUACCUGCUUUUAGUUAAGUGCAUGUUAAGGGGGAUUAUGCAGAAAUUUCUAGAAAAAGAGUGGUAACUUCGGAGUAGGUACAGAGGAAAGAAGUCGAUAAUGUCCUGUUGUUGCCAUGGCAACGAAAAACUGACAUGGCGCUGGUGGGCUCUUUGGGUGAUAGUUAGGUUUAGUUGAGAUCCUAGCAGAUCGAGUCUUCAUGAUGGGCAUGAUGGGACUGGUCCCUUAUAAGAAAAGACCAGAAAGCUAGCUCUCUCUUUGCCAUGUGAAGACAUAGCAGGAAGGUAGCCAUCUGCAAGCUAGGAAAGGGCCUUCACAAAGAAUCAACUCAGACCUCAGAACAGUGAGAGAUAAAUUGUCGUUGUUUAAGUCACUCAGGCUGUGGUAUUUUGUUUCAGCAGCCCAACCUAAGACUGUUAAUUGGAUUAGAAAUUUCCUUUUGGGGAUGGUGUGUGGCGGGCGGGGGGCGGGGAGUACCUUUGUUAAGCUUUUAUAUCAAUGAGUUUGUAGGCUUUUCUUUUUUGGUCAUUGACUAGGACAGUUUAAAUAGUAUGAGUGUGAAGGAGAUUGUUGGUCAUCUAUUCGAUGUCCCUUCUCUGUUUUUUAAUAUGAGAACUCCUGAUUUUCAGCCAACUACCCUGGAAAAAAAGCUAAUCUUUCUGACUUCUUAAGUGUGGCCAUGUACUAAAUUCUGGCUAAUGCAAGGCAAGCCAAAGGUUUUAUGAUAGGUUUUAGGACACUAGAGUAAAAGAGAGCUGUUGCACACAUGCUCUUCACCCUACUUUUGUGUCCUUUUUUCCAUCCUACAACUUGGGUUGUGAGUAUGAUGGCUGGAACUUUAGUGGCUCUCUUGGAUCCCAGGGGUAAUUGAGGGGUGGCUGGAAGGAAUCUGUGAUUUUCUGGAGUUUCCAUACACAAACAAGACCUGGAUUUUCUGGGCUUCCCAGACUUCCACAUCUAGACUUGCUUUAAAUGGGAGAGAAAUAAACUUGUUUCAGCCACUGUCAUUUUGGGCUAUUUUAUAGAACUUAAUCUAAUCUUCAAGGGUACAUGAAUUGCUUUUCCUUAAAAAAAAAAUCAGCCAUAAAAUCAUCUUCUUUUUUCUUUUGUUCCCCACAUUAUUUAGUUGGAGCUCUGUAACUUUUUUUUUUUUUUUUUUUGAGACAAGGUCUUGCUCUGUCACUUAGGCUGGAAUUCAGUGGCAUGACCAUGGCUCACUGCAGCCUUGCCCUCCUAGGCUCAAGCAAUCCUCGUCUCAGCCUCCUGAGUAGCUGAAACUAAGGCACAUGCCACCAUGCCCAGCUAAUUUCUUUUCUUUUAGAGAUGGGAGCCUUGCCCAGGCUAGUCUCAAACUCCUAGCCUCAAGUGAUCCUCCCAUCUCAGCCUCCCAAAGUGACAGGAUUACAGGUGUGAGCCACCAUGCCUGGCUGCUCUGUAAGUGUCUGAAUUUCAUUUUGUAUUUAUCAGUCUGUUUAGAUUUUCUUUCCCUUCUUGGGUCAGUUAGGCCAUUGGUUUCUUUUUAAAGGUUUUCAAAUUUAUUUGCAUCUAAUUCUUCAAAUUACUCUCAAAAUUAUUCCAGUAUAUAUUCUUUUGUUCCUAUUUUCUUCUGUAUUCUUUAUUAAAAUAGCUAAUGAUUUAUCUAGCAGGACUUAUAUUCUUUCCAUAACUUUCCUGCACCCCAAUUAAUCUCCAAUUUUAUAUUUCUUCUGGCCUUCCUUAUAGUUUCCACAGGUUUAUUUUAUUCAUUUUUUAAAACUUUUAUUUAAUUGUUUAUUUUAUUAUCAUUCUUUCUUAUUCAGCAAUCUAAGUGCUUAGGGAUAUAGAAUUUCCUCUAAGCAGCAUAUGCUAGGCUUUAACAAUGUUAGGGAGGCCUCCCCUUUCUGGGGAAGACCACACUUACAUUAACACAGGACUGUGGGAUGCCAAGAGGUAGAGAAGAGCUUAUGAAUAUCCAGAUUACAUCUUCACUGAUCCUGCACAAAGGUGGGGUUCCUCGGUUACCCACUGGGUCCUAUUACCCAAGUCUGGGUCAGCAUACCGAGACUACGGGUAUAUAGAACAAGUGCAACUGGCGAUAAUCCUUCUGUUGGGGAGAAAAAUCUUUUUUUUCUAUUCAUCUUAGGUUCUCCAUCUGUGGCCCUAUCAAGUAGACUAACAAAAGACAGAUUGACAAGACAGAAACAAAGCAUGUGCAUUGUACAAACACAGGGGAGUACUGAGAUGAAUACUCAAAAGAGGAUUUAGAACUUGGGCUUAUAUAGCAUUUUAAGAAAAGAAUACAUUUUUUAAGUGACAAGGAAGACGAAAAGGACUUUGAGUUUCUAGUGCAGUAAAUUGUGGGAAGGCAACUUUUUCUUUCCCUUUUUUUUUUUUUUUUUUUAAAAAAAAAGACUUCUCUGGUGCUAUGUCCAGGCUGAUAAGAGUCUAAAGUCUCUGGUGACUAACUUUUGUUCUUCCCCGAGUAAGAAGACACCUUCACAAUUUCAUAUCCUGCUUUUAGGCAAAUAGGGAGAGGGCAGAGGUGUUUGUUUGUUUUUAAUCUAUUUUUUUUCUCAAUUGUCUUCAACUCAAAAUACUUCUUAUGCCAAAGAUGGCAUAUUCUGCUACCCUUCACUUACUACUUACAACCCAGCCUCUAUCAUCAUAAUUAGAACUUCUGACCCUGGGGAACAUGGGCAAUAGUUUGAACUCUUUUAUAUCUCCCUUAGGCAGAGAUGGAGGCACAGCAUGAUCUUGGCUUACUGCAGCUGCUGCAGGCUCAAGCAAUUCUCC
rnacentral:lncRNA from 10 species